CUGCCUACAUACCCUGUGAAGGGAUCAAACCACUGUAGUUCAUAUCCAAUUUUACUCAACGGGUAUGUAUUUCGAACUCGUCGAGAGAACACAUUUUUUUGUGGACACCCGAUUUUAAUGGAGCGUCCGUUGAUUUGAUCUGGGGACCCAAUGUACUGAGGUUUGCAGCAGGCCUUGAAAUUUGGAAUGGGCUUUGGGCUGCAAAUUAAUCGGGCCCGAACUUCUGAGGUGAAUUGAUUUAGACACCCGUUGUGUUGAGCUUCUGAGGUUGGGCUCUGUGACUUGAGAUGGGCUUUGCAGAGCUCCAAAACUUGUAUACGAGUGAUUUGCAAUGCAUAAACUGAUUUGGACACCCAUUAAUACAGCCCUAUUGAGCCCAGCUCACGUCUUCAAGGUUCUGAUCCCAAAAGGAAGACGUCAUCUCCAUUCGAUAAGCUUCAGAUCCUCUGUGAGACCUCUUUGGCGUAAUCAUCAGAUAGAGAUCAAUUUCAAGAUGAGGAUUAACUAUUUUAAUUUGAUCUGGAGAGGGAGUCAUAUCGCUGAAGUCCAUAUAAAUGGGUUGGCUCAAGUGCCUAGAUUCCCCAUUCGUUCUCUUUCGCGCACCAAAUCAGAGGCCUUGAUUUCUUACCCCUGUUCGCGAAACGCAUCUGUCAGAGCUAUUGGUGUCGAAACCAGAACUGGUGAGAAAACAUCCUUUCGACCCAAUUGAGAUUCAAAUGUGUUCAAUUAUAUUUGACUCUGACAAACAUAUGUGUGAAGCUAUCUGCAUAUUUUAGACAUAUCUCCACCGCCAAGCCUCGUGGCUCCUUGAGAAGUGACCUCUGCUUCUUCAAUUAGAUGCAAUUGCCGCAUGCCUCUUGAUCUUUUAUUUUUGCCUCAAUUAUGCAUAUUCUGAAGCUUCUGCUCUGCUGCAAAUAAGUGGAAUAAGCUUCCAUUUCUCUUUUUGCGUAGCCGUGACCAUGAAACCAAAAGCAAGGACUUCAUUUUCCUUUCUUGCUGAUCAUGAGAUUGCUUUUCCAUCUUGCAGACACAAUUUUGAAGAAAAGCAUUGCAGGCGGUGUUCAAACCAUUGCAACAAACAUAAUUUUGAAGGAAGACGUUGCAGCUUGACCACAUCUUUUCUAGGAGUUAAUAAACAUUGCUGCCACUAUCUUGUGCCAAGUAACAGGAACCAGACGACUCCCAUCUCUCUUGUAUUUCGUGGCUGCAGUUUAGUGAUCGAGGGUGAGCCGAACCGAGCGCUUUGCAGGCUUGUGGCUGGAGGUAGGCACCCUUUUAUAGAGAGAUGGCCACUUCACUUUCAAGGCAGCAUUUUGAUGAUGACUUUGAUGCAGGUGGAUAACUUGGGGCUGAAACUCUACACGGGGAUCAUCUUGGAGCAGCUUCCCUACUGUUGUGAACUCGGGAACUUUGCAGAACCGUACUCGGUGUGAACUGGUAACCCCGAGGCGUUCACUUGACAUACUUAUUUUUGCCACCCAUAUGCAGGACGCACCGCGAUACAGGCAUCAAAAACAAGCAUGGUGAACCCCCUUGAUCUUGAAGCUUGCUUCCGCCACCUAUACGCAGGACGCACCGCAGUAUAGGCAUCGAAAGCAAGUGCAGCAUGGAGUGACACCACGGCUGUGAAUGAGGGCUUGAUGUCGACUUUGUGUCUUGCUCGGAAGCCGUUGGUGAGAUUUGUGAGGAUGACAGCAACGAGGGACUUUUGGAGAGAGGAUAGGCCAUCAACUUCUUGUUUGGAGUGUUCAUAGUCUUACAUGAUCACCUAUUUAGCUUUCUGUAAUCAUAUAAUGUAGAACAAAGAGAACACUUGAGUGAAAAUGAUAAUUGACAACAUAUAGAAGAAAUUAUACCCAC